GCCCUUACGACCAGGGCUACACACGUGCUACAAUGGCAUAUACAAAGAGAAGCGACCUCGCGAGAGCAAGCGGACCUCAUAAAGUAUGUCGUAGUCCGGAUUGGAGUCUGCAACUCGACUCCAUGAAGUCGGAAUCGCUAGUAAUCGUAGAUCAGAAUGCUACGGUGAAUACGUUCCCGGGCCUUGUACACACCGCCCGUCACACCAUGGGAGUGGGUUGCAAAAGAAGUAGGUAGCUUAACCUUCGGGAGGGCGCUUACCACUUUGUGAUUCAUGACUGGGUGAAGUCGUAACAAGGUAACCGUAGGGGAACCUGCGGUUGGAUCACCUCCUUACCUUAAAGAA
rnacentral:rRNA from 1 species